rnacentral:rRNA from 1 species
UACGUAGGGUGCGAGCGUUAAUCGGAAUUACUGGGCGUAAAGCGUGCGCAGGCGGUUGUGUAAGACAGACGUGAAGUCCCCGGGCUUAACCUGGGAACUGCGUUUGUGACUGCACGGCUAGAGUACGGCAGAGGGGGGUAGAAUUCCACGUGUAGCAGUGAAAUGCGUAGAGAUGUGGAGGAAUACCGAUGGCGAAGGCAGCCCCCUGGGUCGAUACUGACGCUCAUGCACGAAAGCGUGGGGAACAAAC